UACGGAGGGUGCAAGCGUUAUCCGGAUUCACUGGGUUUAAAGGGUGCGUAGGCGGAUUAGAAAGCCCGUUGUGAAAUCUCUGAGCUUAACUCGGAAAUUGCGGUGGAUACUAUUAGUCUUGAAUACUGUGGAGGUUAGCGGAAUAUGUCAUGUAGCGGUGAAAUGCAUAGAUAUGACAUAGAACACCAAUUGCGAAGGCAGCUGGCUACACAGAUAUUGACGCUGAGGCACGAAAGCGUGGGGAUCAAACAGG
rnacentral:rRNA from 1 species